CCCUUAGAUGUUCUGGGCCGCACGCGCGCUACACUGACGAUGGCAACGAGUUUUUCCUUCGCCGAAAGGUGUGGGUAAUCUUUUGAAACAUCGUCGUGCUGGGGAUAGAUCAUUGCAAUUUUUGAUCUUGAACGAGGAAUUCCUAGUAAGCGCGAGUCAUCAGCUCGCGUUGAUUACGUCCCUGCCCUUUGUACACACCGCCCGUCGCUACUACCGAUUGAAUGGUUUAGUGAGGACUCCUGAUUGGCGCCGCCGCCCCGGCAACGGAGCAGCGGACUGCCGAAAAGUUGUUCAAACUUGUUCAUUUAGAGGAAGUAAAAGUCGUAACA
rnacentral:rRNA from 1 species